rnacentral:snRNA from 1 species
CAAUUGCGGACCAAUAUGUAAG